rnacentral:rRNA from 1 species
AUGAACGCUGGCGGCGUGCCUAAUCCCUGCAAGUCGCGCAAACGGACGAGAAGCUUGCUUCUCUGAUGUUAGCGGCGGACGGGUGAGUAACACGUGGAUAACCUACCUAUAAGACUGGGAUAACUUCGGGAAACCGGAGCUAAUACCGGAUGAUAUUUUGAACCGCAUGGUUCAAAAGUGACAGACGGUCUUGCUGUCACUUAUAGAUGGAUCCGCGCUGCAUUAGCUAGUUGGUAAGGUAACGGCUUACCAAGGCAACGAUGCAUAGCCGACCUGAGAGGGUGAUCGGCCACACUGGAACUGAGACACGGUCCAGACUCCUACGGGAGGCAGCAGUAGGGAAUCUUCCGCAAUGGGCGAAAGCCUGACGGAGCAACGCCGCGUGAGUGAUGAAGGUCUUCGGAUCGUAAAACUCUGUUAUUAGGGAAGAACAUAUGUGUAAGUAACUGUGCACAUCUUGACGGUACCUAAUCAGAAAGCCACGGCUAACUACGUG